GAUCAACGCUGGCGGCGUGCCUAAUGCAUGCAAGUCGAACGGGCUUCCUUCGGGGAGUCACGUGGCGGACGGGUGCGUAACACGUGGGGAACCUGCCCCGAGGUGGGGGAUAUCCGUCGGAAACGGCGGGCAAUCCCGCAUGAGCUCGAUCCGCGGAGGCGGGGUGAGGAAAGCCGCGAGGCGCCUUGGGAGGGUCCUGCGGCCGAUUAGGUAGACGGCGGGGUAACGGCCCACCGUGCCGAUGAUCGGUAGCUGGUCUGAGAGGACGGCCAGCCACACGGGGACUGAGAGACGGCCCCAGACUCCUACGGGAGGCAGCAGUGGGGAAUAUUGCACAAUGGGCGCAAGCCUGAUGCAGCGACGCCGCGUGAGGGAUGACGGCCUUCGGGUUGUAAACCUCUUUCAGCUAUGACGAAGCGCAAGUGACGGUAGUAGCAGAAGAAGGACCGGCCAACUACGUGCCAGCAGCCGCAGUAA
rnacentral:rRNA from 1 species